GCGAGUGAAGCGGCAACAGCUCAAAUUUGAAAUCUGGCUCGUUUUCGGGUCCGAGUUGUAAUUUGUAGAGGAUGCUUCGGCGUGGGCCCCGGUCUAAGUUCCUUGGAACAGGACGUCACAGAGGGUGAGAAUCCCGUAUGUGGCCGUGGGCACUCGCCAUGUGAAGCUCCUUCGACGAGUCGAGUUGUUUGGGAAUGCAGCUCUAAAUGGGAGGUAAAUUUCUUCUAAAGCUAAAUAUUGGCCAGAGACCGAUAGCGCACAAGUAGAGUGAUCGAAAGAUGAAAAGCACUUUGGAAAGAGAGUCAAAAAGUACGUGAAAUUGUUGAAAGGGAAGCGCUUGCAACCAGACCUGUCUGCAGUUGCUCAUCCGGGCUUCUGCCCGGUGCACUCUUCUGCAGUCAGGCCAGCAUCGGUUCUGGUGGUCGGAUAAAGGCGGUGGGAAUGUGGCUCCUCACGGGGAGUGUUAUAGCCCACUGUGCAAUGCGGCCAACCGGGACCGAGGUCCGCGCUUCGGCUAGGAUGCUGGCGUAAUGGUUGUAAGCGGCCCGUCUUGAAACACGGACCAAGGAGUCUAACAUCUGUGCGAGUGUUUGGGUGUCAAGCCCAGGCGCGUAAUGAAAGUGAACGGAGGCGGGAACCUUAGGGUGCACCGUCGACCGAUCCUGAAGUCUUCGGAUGGAUUUGAGUAAGAGCAUAGCUGUUGGGACCCGAAAGAUGGUGAACUAUGCCUGAAUAGGGUGAAGCCAGAGGAAACUCUGGUGGAGGCUCGCAGCGGUUCUGACGUGCAAAU
rnacentral:rRNA from 1 species